AAGGAGAAAAGAAAUAAAAGGACAUGAAAGAAGAGGGAGAGGACAAAAUUAGGUCCCCAAGGUUUCACAACUCUUUUGGUAUGUUAUUCUAAGUCUCUUUCAUGGCAACAUCGUUAAGUUAGGUUGGGCCAAAGCUUAGAAGGAUGCAAGGAGAUGGUCCCUAUGGUGGUUAAGGUGGCGGAAAUGGGUGGGAAAGGAGUGAUAUGAUGCACAAGUGAUGGUGGUGAGGUGAUAGGCUCAUAACCUUUAGUGAUAGGAUGAAGAUAGUGUGUAGUUUGGUGGUUCAAGGAGAGGUUAGGCCAACUCCAUGAGGUAGGUGACUAGAAGGGCUUAUAUGAAGUACCUGAAAAACACUAGAAGGAGGUUGAAUAGUGUUUUUGGAAAAUGUUUUUCGCAACCCUUCUGAUAUAGCACGUUGUCGAACAUGUUCAAAAGCUUAGACGCUCGACUUGAAAUAUAUGCGUUGAUAAGAUUGUCAUGUCAAUCAAAAU
rnacentral:lncRNA from 1 species